CCUACGGGGGGCUGCAGUGGGGCAUAUUGCACAAUGGGCGCAAGCCUGAUGCAGCCAUGCCGCGUGUGUGAAGAAGGCCUUCGGGUUGUAAAGCACUUUCAGCGGGGAGGAAGGCGGUGAGGUUAAUAACCUCAUCGAUUGACGUUACCCGCAGAAGAAGCACCGGCUAACUCCGUGCCAGCAGCCGCGGUAAUACGGAGGGUGCAAGCGUUAAUCGGAAUUACUGGGCGUAAAGCGCACGCAGGCGGUCUGUCAAGUCGGAUGUGAAAUCCCCGGGCUCAACCUGGGAACUGCAUUCGAAACUGGCAGGCUAGAGUCUUGUAGAGGGGGGUAGAAUUCCAGGUGUAGCGGUGAAAUGCGUAGAGAUCUGGAGGAAUACCGGUGGCGAAGGCGGCCCCCUGGACAAAGACUGACGCUCAGGUGCGAAAGCGUGGGGAGCAAACAGGAUUAGAUACCCGAGUAGUC
rnacentral:rRNA from 1 species